GACGAACGCUGGCGGCGUGCCUAAUACAUGCAAGUCGAACGCACAGUUUAUACCGUAGCUUGCUACACCAUAGACUGUGAGUUGCGAACGGGUGAGUAACGCGUAGGUAACCUGCCUGGUAGCGGGGGAUAACUAUUGGAAACGAUAGCUAAUACCGCAUAAUAUUAAUUAUCGCAUGAUAAUUAAUUGAAAGGUGCAAUUGCACCACUACCAGAUGGACCUGCGUUGUAUUAGCUAGUAGGUGAGGUAACGGCUCACCUAGGCGACGAUACAUAGCCGACCUGAGAGGGUGAUCGGCCACACUGGGACUGAGACACGGCCCAGACGCCUACGGGAGGCAGCAGUAGGGAAUCUUCGGCAAUGGACGAAAGUCUGACCGAGCAACGCCGCGUGAGUGAAGAAGGUUUUCGGAUCGUAAAGCUCUGUUGUAAGAGAAGAACGGGUGUGAGAGUGGAAAGUUCACACUGUGACGGUAUCUUACCAGAAAGGGACGGCUAACUACGUG
rnacentral:rRNA from 1 species